AAAGGUGCGUAGGUGGUCUAAUAAGUCAGUGGUGAAAUCUCUUGCUUAACAAGGAAAUUGCCAUUGAAACUGUUAGACUUGAGAAUGGACGAGGUAGGCGGAAUUCGUAGUGUAGCGGUGAAAUGCAUAGAUAUUACGAAGAACUCCAAUAGUGUAGACUGCUUACCAGACCAUAUCUGACACUAAGGCACGAAAGUGUGGGUAUCAAACAGGAUUAGAUACCCUGGUAGUCCACACAGUAAACGAUGAAUACUAACUGUUUGCGAUAUACAGCAAGUGGUCGAGCGAAAGCGUUAAGUAUUCCACCUGGGAAGUAUGCCGGCAACGGUGAAACUCAAAGGAAUUGACGGGGGCCCGCACAAGCGGAGGAACAUGUGGUUUAAUUCGAUAAUACGCGAGGAACCUUACCCGGGCUCGAACGAUAUUUGAAUACAUCCGAAAAGAUGUAGCUAGCAAUAGCAAAUACCGAGGUGCUGCAUGGUUGUCGUCAGCUCGUGCCGUGAGGUGUCGACUUAAGUGUCAUAACGAGCGCAACCCUUACCGAUAGUUACCAUCAGAUAAUGCUGGGGACUCUAUUGGGACUGCCACCGUAAGGUGUGAGGAAGGAGAGGAUGACGUCAAAUCAGCACGGCCCUUAUGUCCGGGGCGACACACGUGUUACAAUGGGAGAAACAAAGGGUCGCUACCUGGCAACAGGAUGCUAAUCUCGAAAAUCUCUCUCAGUUCGGAUUGGAGUCUGCAACUCGACUCCAUGAAGCUGGAUUCGCUAGUAAUCGCACAUCAGCCAUGGUGCGGUGAAUACGUUCCCGGGCCUUGUACACACCGCCCGUCAAGCCAUGGAAGCUGGAAGUACCUGAAGUAUGUAACUAAAAGAGCGUCCUAAGU
rnacentral:rRNA from 1 species